GGAGUUUGGGCCGUGUCUCAGUCCCAAUGUGGCCGUUCAACCUCUCAGUCCGGCUAUUGAUCGUCGUCUUGGUGGUCCGUUACACCGCCAACUAACUAAUCAAACGCGGGUCCAUCUCGUAGCGAUGAAUCUUUUCCCCCUGGACCAUGCGGUCCUGUGGGCUUAUGCGGUAUUAGCAGUCGUUUCCAACUGUUAUCCCCCUCUACGAGGCAGGUUACCCACGCGUUACUCACCCGUCCGCCACUAAGUUACAGCUGACUUUGACGAAUCUCCAUCAAAAGUAACUCCGUUCGACUUGCAUGUGUUAGGCACGCCGCCAGCGUUCAUC
rnacentral:rRNA from 1 species